UGGGGAAUAUUGCACAAUGGGCGAAAGCCUGAACUAGCAACACCGCGUGUGCGAAGAAGGCCUUCGGGUUGUAAAGCACUUUUUGAGAGGAUGAGGAAGGACGGUACUCUCAGAAUAAGUCUCGGCUAACUACGUGCCAGCAGCCGCGGUAACACGUAGGAGGCAAACGUUAUCCGGAUUUACUGGGCGUAAAGCGCGUGUAGGUGGUUUGGUAAGUAGAGCGUGAAAGCUCCUGGCUCAACUGGGAGAGGUCGUUCUAAACUGCCGGACUAGAGGAUGGUAGAGGGAGGUGGAAUUCCGGGUGUAGCGGUGGAAUGCGCAGAUAUCCGGAGGAACACCAGUGGCGAAAGCGGCCUCCUGGACCACUCCUGACACUCAGACGCGAAAGCUAGGGUAGCAAACG
rnacentral:rRNA from 1 species